rnacentral:lncRNA from 1 species
UCUAGUGGAACCAAAUAAUAUUUUUUGCAUUUUUUUACUAAAUGGCAUAAUUGUAAAUUUCUUCAUCUUCCUCAUAAAAGCUUUUAAGUUUUUUUUUUUUAGCUUUUAAGUCCUCUGCAGCCUUUUAAUGGCUACCGUAUUGACAUAUAUCAUCGUUUCUGAGAUUUUCUUAUGAUUUAUGCCUUAAACUCAUAAAUCUAGCAUGCAAAUUACGGUUUAUUAAUCCAUCAUUGUCUUCAACAUCCUUCUCGUCUACGCAAUUGUCGGCACCGUCAUCAUCUCCGCUGCUGUUGCUGUCGUCGUCACUGUGGUUGUGUCCGUCGGCGAUGUCUACUACUCCGUUGUCUUCUUCUAUGUCUCUGUGUCGUUAAUGAUUAUAAACAAUGGAAACAAUCACUUGAUGUUUUGUAAGAGAUGAAAUCAAGAUUGUUGAAAUCAGAUCAAUAAAUCCAAAUAUUAAAAUUAGAGAUAGAUAUGUGUCAAAUCAAGUUUAGUUUAAUUAAUAAAAUAGUGUUUUUUUUUCAAGUUAUGUUAAAUAGAAACUAAAUUAGUUAAAAUGUAAAGAAUGAAAGUGAGCUUAGUUUAUAAAAAGUGUCCUAGUAGUGGAAACUGACCUAUGGUGUAAUUAAAAACUAGAAACUGUUUCUGAAUGUAAUAUUUUCUAAACGUAACUAAAUAGAUUGUAAACAAAAGAAAAUGGG